CUGCGGGUGGCAAAGCCGAAGUAGUCUAGGUCUACUGACGACCCAAGGCCAGAUAGUGUGGGCGGGAGGCCGUAGGAAGUGUGUGACUUUUCAGGGUUCAGGAAGCACAAUGCUGUGCAGUGCGAGAUCGGAAGCAAGACAGCAUUGCUACAGAUCCAUGUGCGGUACUUAGCUGUUUCCUUGCCUGCUUGUUUUCCAGGUUUGCUCCGGAUCCGAUAGUCGCCCAUGGAGCCCUUUCUCUCCAUGCAGGUACACGGUUUGUCUUGGACUCGUAGUGGAACAAGGUCUGGAAGAUGGACAUUCCAAGUGCCAAGUCGGGAUGGCAAAACAGCCAACGUGAAGGAGUUGGAGUCACUGCGGUACUCGGUUCUUCAGAACCAAAGAACACGACUUUCAAGCACCCGACUAGUGUCUUAGCUUUCCAGCCUGUAAGCAGGAGUCUACAAGGGACACGAUGAGAAGUGGUUCUUUUACAGCCUGGUGGCCAGCCUCUGGAACUCAUAGUACAUAAUGACCUGCAAGUGUCAUUAUCAGGCACUAGAAAACAGGGAACUCAUGUGACAGUAAGCUGGUACCCAUUGGAUUUCCGAAGAGGAGGCUAUAGCCGUCUUACAAAGGAAGAGUUCGGUGGACUGGUGACCCACAUCUGCCUGUAACUGCAGUUCUGGAGGAUCGGAUGCCCUCUUUGACCUCUGUGAGGACUUGGGCCCACGCACACACAAGCACAUAAAUAACUUUUACAAAGAAAAAGGGAGUCCCACACUCUGCUCUCUGCGUCUAAGACAUACAUUUUCUAAGGUCAAAUCAGUGCUUGUGGAAAUAAAUUCAUCUGAGUUGGAAAAUAGGUGGCACUUAUUGUACCGUAUGACUCAUACGGUACAAGGUAUCUUAAAAUUCCCUAAAUGCCAGCUGCAUGCACUUCUUGGUCUCACUAAUUACUGCCACAACUAAGCCCUCAACUUUUCUAUGCAGUCUCACCUUCUGCCAUCAAGCCAACUGCAUAGUUGAGAAGGACACAGUCUUAGUCACUGUUCUAUUGCUAUGAAGAGACACCAUGAU